CAGGAAAUUUAAUGAAGGAAAUGUCUUAUUCUACUUGUGAUGUUAAAGUUCGUGAAAAUAUAUCAGUGUUUCUAUUACAAAUAACUCAAGCGCCAGUCAGAUUUUAUGGAAUUGGACUGUUUCAAUUUGGCUACAAAUUCCUUUAUGGGUUCAGCUCAUCAAUUACGACUAUUAUAGUUUUAUUAAUACAAGCGGUUAUAAAUAAAGAAAC